AUUGAACGCUGGCGGCAGGCUUAACACAUGCAAGUCGAGCGGAGAUGAGGUGCUUGCACCUUAUCUUAGCGGCGGACGGGUGAGUAAUGCUUAGGAAUCUGCCUAUUAGUGGGGGACAACAUUCCGAAAGGAAUGCUAAUACCGCAUACGUCCUACGGGAGAAAGCAGGGGAUCUUCGGACCUUGCGCUAAUAGAUGAGCCUAAGGCGGAUUAGCUAGUUGGUGGGGUAAAGGCCUACCAAGGCGACGAUCUGUAGCGGGUCUGAGAGGAUGAUCCGCCACACUGGGACUGAGACACGGCCCAGACUCCUACGGGGGGCAGCAGUGGGGAAUAUUGGACAAUGGGGGGAACCCUGAUCCAGCCAUGCCGCGUGUGUGAAGAAGGCCUUAUGGUUGUAAAGCACUUUAAGCGAGGAGGAGGCUACUGAGACUAAUACUCUUGGAUAGUGGACGUUACUCGCAGAAUAAGCACCGGCUAACUCUGUGCCAGCAGCCGCCGUAA
rnacentral:rRNA from 1 species